UACCAAUACAGUGAUGUGGAUCCUUCAGGAAGGCUAAUUAAAGCAGUGUGGAAAAAGAAAACUACACCAAGUUGGCAUGACCUAUACACUGGUAAGGAGAGAUAUGCAAACAUACAGAAUUUUAGUUAUAAUCACCAUGGCCACAAAUCAGCCUGCUUCUGGAAGAUACUCUUAUUGUAAUGAAUUUCCUCAAUAUCUUCUGUUUGACAACAGUCAGAGAUAACAAGCGAUCAGCAAGAAGAAAUAUGACACCUGACAUUUUAAGUGGCCUGUUAGUAUUAUUUAUUCUGCUAAAAAAUACAGUUCCUCAUCCACUAAGUGUUGAAAGGGGGAAGCAAAGAGCAUCUUUCACUGUGUAAAUUCAUGACAAGUGUGCUAUCCCAGGCAUCCCUCACAUGAAGAGGGAACAUUUGGCUUCGUACGAAGAUGCUGACUGCAGUUCAUCGUGGCUGUAGGAAGAAAUUUGGCAGAGAGGCACCUCGUGAUCACAGCAGACACAGGAUUCACACCACGGCCAUUUGGACUACAGGAAAACCUGUGUUGCCAGAACUCAGGAGUCUCCUGUGGCAGCUGGAAGGCAACUAGAGGCAUUUGAGAGGGUAAAGCACCCAUGUAUCUAAGCACAUUUCAUAGCAUCAUUCCAAGGGCAUUGCACAGUCAAGACAAAAUACAUUUUACCAAAAAGGAGGAGAUGGCAGAGAGAUUAAACUUCUUAUCCAGACCCACAGAGUUUAACACUUCACAUCUUCAUCUUGGACUUUGCAUUUUACUCAGCAGCAUCCUCAGCAUUUACUCUGCCUAUGACAUCACCUGUGCCUAACUUCCAAAGGCUAUUUAGGACAUACAGUUGCUAGUAGGACAUCUUGAAGACAAAAGAUUUGUACAAGCUUAACUUGGAGCAUGAGCUGGUCUGAAGAAUAGUGACAGCAAUUUUGUUAUACUUGUGUGGUAUUGGAGGAGUACUGCAAGGUACCCCAUACAAACAAAGGCUUGCACAAGAAGUUUUUCAGAACAGAUAAAACACAAAUCUUCGUCAACAUCUCUGCUGCUUGUCUCUUCCACAGACAGAAUUCUGGACAUUUGCUAGUAAACCCCUUCAGAAGAUUUGCUUUAGAAAUCUCUGUUAGCUGCUGAGCAUCAUGUGAGGCUUCUGUCCAGAACCCUGAACUGCAGCACAGGGCUGGAACUUCUGUGGCUGGCAGAAACAGUCCAGUACCCAUGAGGACAGACACUGUCCUUCAGUGGAAAUAUGGGUGUAGGAGCAUUAGACUUCAGGCAUUCACCUAAGGACAAGUGAAGUACACGGGAUGAGCUGAAGACCAAGACUUUAACAAUAGUUUGAGAUUUCAGGGAGAAGAUAGUCAAGAGUGUCAAAUACAAGAGGCACUGAAGAUGCUUUAUUUACUUGUGCAUGUCUGGAUUAAAACUGUAUUUGCCCCUAAAGUCAAAGAAAAAUACUUGAACCAGGAAUAUUUUUCCUACAGAUUGUCAAACAUUCCUAUUCUGGAUGCAAAUGAAGUCUUGCUGCUUUUGCAGAUCACUUGCUAGUGGAGACUGACACCCAUUUGCAGAAGAAUCAGCACACAGACUUUCAAGGUUAUCAAUGGCCAACUUCUGCACAGAACUCCAUCAUCUUCAACCAGGACUUCAUUCCUUUGCUCCUAACACUCUCUACUUACCAAAUUAUCCAUUGAACUCCUGUGCUCCUCCAAAAGGAAGAAAAAAAAAAAGGAAAUGAGGUACAAGGCAGAAAGGUAGGGAAGGAUACUGGCUACAAGGUUAGUGCAGCUUUAUGAAUUGACCCAAAAUUUUGGUCUUGCUGAACCCUUUCCACUGGAAACUGACACAAGUAUGAAUUUUGUCAUCUUGUUUGACUGAGCUUUUGAAAUCAAGGUAUUACUGGUAAAAUCCCAACUUUUCUGUGUUUCAAGUGAUCCUGGGUGAGAAGCAGAGGGACAGGAAAGAAGAGCAAGAAAUCAUCCAUCAAAGCAAUAAGUUUUUCAUCUAUUUAUUGAUGGGUCUUUAGUCUUCUGAUGGGUCAGUUAAGACUAAUACCAUCUGUAGGCUUUUCUGUUCCAUCCCUUGUCACCCCAAUCCAUACCUCUGUCAGAUGUUUCUGUAAUGAGUUCUAGACUAACUUCAUUUUUGGAAAACAAACAGGAGAAUGGCAUUACCUUAAUCUGAGACAGUCUCUGUGUCAUGAUCUACAUUGUAGAUCUAGGGGAGGAAUAAAUAUUUGAAAUAAUAAUAACAUGCUAUAAAGGAAGGAGCUAUCCAUUUUUCCUGGAUAGCUCCUGCUAGCUUCUGCUCUUUGACACACAGAGAACCCAUAUGUGCCUGUAAUGUUCAAGAUCUUUUGAUGUAACUGAUAGGUGCUGAUGGGUCCACAGCCUUCACUGUAUAUUGAGUCUAUUUCUACACCAACACUAAUAAUUACCUGUACUCAAUUACUAGAAUUCUUGUGCAAGUUGCUCUUUUUGUACCAUUUAAAAUGGAGUAGUACAGCACAGAGGAGCUGGAAUCCCUGUCCUGAAGAAUUCAGUCUAGAAGCUUACUUCCAACGUCAAACAAGAGACAGAGUGUAUGAGAAGAUAAAUUAUUCAGUAAUGGAUCCUACACACUUAUAAUGCACAAGUUGUAAUGAAUCUCAGUUGCUCUUGUAAUUCUGUAAAGUUGUUUACCUAAUAUGGUAGAUGUGCCAUAUGGUACACUAAAGAGAGUGUUAGAAUGAG